ACGUAGGGGGCAAGCGUUAUCCGGAAUUAUUGGGCGUAAAGAGUGCGUAGGUGGUUUUUUAAGCGUGAGGUGAAAGGCAAUAGCUUAACUAUUGUAAGCCUUGCGAACUGGAAGACUUGAGUGCAGGAGAGGAAAGUGGAAUUCCUAGUGUAGCUGUGAGAUGCGUAGAAAUGAGGAGGAACAACAGAGGCGGGGGGGACUUACUGGACUGUAACUCAUGCUGAGGCACGAAACCGUCUAGCACAAACAG
rnacentral:rRNA from 1 species